AAAAGUAUUAUUCACCUUAUGGAUAAGAAACUAAUCCUUUUGGGGUAUGAUUACCCCUCCCGAUAAAUGUUGCUCACAAGAAUCAAACUCUUGACAUUUUAGUCUUUAUGGAGAUCUAACAUGGUCUUACAUUGCUCCCAAGAAUCAAACCUUAUGAGUAAGGAACUAAUCCCUUUCAGAGUGCGUGACUGCCCCUCCCA
rnacentral:lncRNA from 1 species